UACAGAGGUCUCAAGCGUUGUUCGGAUUCAUUGGGCGUAAAGGGUGCGUAGGUGGCGCUGUAAGUCGGGUGUGAAAUUUCGGUGCUUAACUCCGAAACUGCAUUCGAUACUGCGGUGCUUGAGGACUGGAGAGGAGACUGGAAUUCAUGGUGUAGCAGUGAAAUGCGUAGAGAUCAUGAGGAAGACCAGUGGCGAAGGCGGGUCUCUGGACAGUUCCUGACACUGAGGCACGAAGGCCAGGGGAGCAAACGGG
rnacentral:rRNA from 1 species